rnacentral:lncRNA from 1 species
GGUUAAUAAUGACAUAUGCUGCACACAUGUGAGGAAUGGCAUGGCAGUGUAAUCAUGGGAUUCAUUUUAGGAUUAUUCACUAGUGUCAAUUGAUAAUUACUCACACUUAACCUUUUCAUCUAUCUGCAGUCCACUGGCCUGAUUUAAUAAGAGAGAUUCCCAGCUGACUCCUGAAAUGACCACACAAUAGCGUGUCAACUGCUAAUGCAAAAAUAAUAAUUUUAGCUUUUUCUUGUUUUUACGCCCCAAUUUCUUCGUUUUAACCUCAUGCUGCCGAAGACUUUGCAAAUCCUUGACAGCUCGUGCAUCAAGGGAGAUUCUCAAAGCGUUCUUCUUCUCUUUUUGAAGCGCCGGCAGAGGCCCCAGCACCUCGCAGCGCACGCGGCUGGGAGCCGACACACAGAGUUUCCCCCUUUCCUUAGUCAUCACACCUGAGGAGAGGCGGAAUGAGACCUCGGUCAGACCCAGCAGGAACCAAAAGCCACCCAGAAAACGCAAAUUGUGGGGGGCCUCUUGGUGUCCAUCCUUCUGCCCAGGAGCUACAAAUCAGACUGGGUUGUGUGCACAGCUCUGCAAAUAAGACCAUCCAGAAGCGUCUGCCGGACUGUCAGUCAUGAAGGAACAGGACCACAG